CAAUCAAUUAAAAGCAAUGACAUCAUAUAUGCAUCAACAAGGAAUAUAAACACAUUCCCAAUUCCCAAAUUAACCACAACCCAUAGAGAUGAAAGAGUUUGGGUAUGGAGAAGAAAGGUUCUUCUCCCCUCUUUAUGAAUCAUCUCAAAAUGAAUAAAUUACUACUCUCAUACCUUAUUGAUGUUGGAUUCUCUAGUCCUUCAUCUCCUAGUUCUUCUUCAAUCUUCCCCUCUACUUAGCUUUCCUCUUCAUUCUUUGUUCUUUUUCUUCUUUUCUCUAACUUUCUCUUUAUCUUUCUUUCUCGAGAGCUUCUCUCUCUACC
rnacentral:lncRNA from 1 species